AGGAUGAACGCUGGCGGCGUGCUUAACACAUGCAAGUCGAACGGUGAAGCAGGAGCUUGCUCCUGUGGAUCAGUGGCGAACGGGUGAGUAACACGUGAGAAAUCUGCCCUGGACUCUGGGAUAAGCGUUGGAAACGACGUCUAAUACCGGAUACGAGACGUGAAGGCAUCUUCAACGUCUGGAAAGAACUUCGGUCCAGGAUGAUCUCGCGGCCUAUCAGCUAGUGGUGAGUAACGGCCCACCAAGCGACGACGGGUAGCCGGCCUGAGAGGGUGACCGGCCACACUGGGACUGAGACACGGCCCAGACUCCUACGGGAGCAGCAGUGGGAAUAUUGCACAAUGGGCGCAAGCCUGAUGCAGCAACGCCGCGUGAGGGUACGACGGUCCUUCGGUCGUAAACCUCGUUUUAAGUACGGUAAGAAGCGAAACGUAGACGGUAACC
rnacentral:rRNA from 1 species